UACAGAGGGGGCAAGCGUUGUUCGGAAUUACUGGGCGUAAAGGGCGCGUAGGCGGCCUGUUAAGUCGAACGUGAAAUCCCCGGGCUCAACCCGGGAACUGCGUCCGAUACUGGCAGGCUUGAAUCCGGGAGAGGGAUGCGGAAUUCCAGGUGUAGCGGUGAAAUGCGUAGAUAUCUGGAGGAACACCGGGUGGCGAAGGCGGCAUCCUGGACCGGCAUUGACGCUGAGGCGCGAAAGCCAGGGGAGCAAACGGG
rnacentral:rRNA from 1 species